GUUUCACUAUAAAUACUUUUUAGCUACUAUAACUUAAGUUUUUGGGAAAAACAGUUAUUAUAUAUCUGAAAUGGUUGCAGUCACCACAUAAUUAAUAUCUGUAUUGUCAAAAAUGUACAGUAUAGUCAAAGGGG